GCUGCAAAAGAAGAGAGGCACAUGCCCCUGAGAGGGGAGGCCGGGCGCCUCGCCCCCCAGAGGCGGCAGCCCAGCACCCCCGGGCCGCUUCCCACUCCCCGAGCAUCUCCGUACCUUGCCUGGGGUGCAGCUUCUGCCUCCUCGCUCCCGUCCUCAAGCCGUCGAUGAAAAGCGUGGAACGCCGGAUUCGCAAGUUUUCGCUGGCAAAGCCCUCGGCAGUACCGCGCCUGGACGGGGCAGGCGGGUCCGAAACCCCACUGGCAGAGCGAGGUACGGGGGGGAAGAGCCACUUCCUCGCUCACCGGCAGCAGAGUAGAGUUUUCUUGCAUAAAAGAAAAGAAAGAAAACCGCCGGUUCUGGAAUCUUGAAGAAGUGAACGCAUACUCAAAGAAUCCCACGUGCAACACUUUUUAUAGCAUUGCUUUUCUUCUGCAUUUCUCAGAUACGAAGCACUUUAAGCAACUUUAGAGUUAUUUUUGUGUUGUGCUUUUUUCAGCAUCCUGAGGGAAAAGAAAGAUUUCCUCGUCUAAAAGGUGUCUUUUCUUUUUAAUCUUGUUUUACAAUUUGGAAGCUUUAGAUAGAAAUUUUAGCCAUCCCUUAAAGCCAAGUGCAACUCAACAUUGUUUCCUGCUGUCCCUCACACUCGUGAAUUGGUUGUUCUUUCCCCCUGCAUGAGGAAAGGUGCUAUGAAAUUUCGAGGCAAAAGAAAUUAGAUGGUGGAAGUGUAAGUUCCCACCACUUGCACUUCCCUUGGAACAAAGAACAGAAGCACCACUACUUUCUGCAGGAAGGGGAAGCCUUAAAGUGAUCAGUUCAGAAUUGACUUCUGGACAAAACAGCGCCUCCUAAGUAAAUGCUGAAGCCCUACAAAGCUGUUAGCAGAUUUUACAUGAUCAAUACAGAAGAACGUGUAAGCAGAUCAUCACCUGCAAAGCCACUCAUAGCUGCUGCAGGCUUACCAGGUGGAGAAGGUCACAUCUCAGUUCUGCUAUGCCUCUGUGUAAGAACUCCAUUUAAUUUAAGGUAAUUCACUUAUGCUGCCUUCUCGGGCUCAGCAAAGCUGGAGUCUUCCAGCCUUGGAUUGCCAGCAUACAGCCAGCUCUAAAAGUGGCAUUGGGUCUCUUGCAUCCAGCUUUAGAACUGGUGCAAGCAGUCAUCUGCAAAGGAACAGCUCUUCAGAACAGCUAAACAAGACUGCAUCUCCAUGCACUCAUCUGUUGUGAGUGAGCCUAUGCCACAUGUGCUGCUAGUGCUGCAAAGAACUAAAUGGUCUUUAGGGUCCCUUCUAGCCCAAGCCAUUCUGUGAUCUUCCUGUCCUAAUGGCUAAUUUCUUGCUUGUGCACACACACAUUGAGAAAGAAGUCCUCAAAAUAGGAAAGACACCAAAGUAUUCUGAACUUACUGCAAUCUGCAAAGCCUGCUGGGGCUGCUGUGCAGCCUCCUCUGGCUGGUCAUGAAGGAGCUUGACAUCCCCAUCCUUCCCAUGCUCUGUUGUGUCCUGAUAGAGUCUGAAAAGCCACCGUAGUCCUGGGGGCUUCUGGAUGAAGAAAAAUAAAUGGGUAUCUUGAAACAUCA